AGCUACAGCUUUAGCUAUGUUAUUGCUAUUCUCAAUAGAGAGACGGUUUCUGAAGACUCCAGAUUUCGAUUGAGGUUUUAAUGUAUGAACUGUAUUAUGAUUAUGAACAACGGAUGCUGCCAUAUCGUGGUUCCUAUAUUGAGUCAUGUAUUUUGAAAACAUAUCCUCUGUUUCCAUCUCACCCUUAUCAUCGAUUAUUAUUAUUGCUAUGU
rnacentral:sRNA from 1 species